CCCCGGAAUGCCCUGCACUCUGGGACAAGCCCUGGAAACGGGGUCUAAUACCGGAUACUGAUCCUCGCAGGCAUCUGCGAGGUUCGAAAGCUCCGGCGGUGCAGGAUGAGCCCGCGGCCUAUCAGCUAGUUGGUGAGGUAACGGCUCACCAAGGCGACGACGGGUAGCCGGCCUGAGAGGGCGACCGGCCACACUGGGACUGAGACACGGCCCAGACUCCUACGGGAGGCAGCAGUGGGGAAUAUUGCACAAUGGGCGAAAGCCUGAUGCAGCGACGCCGCGUGAGGGAUGACGGCCUUCGGGUUGUAAACCUCUUUCAGCAGGGAAGAAGCGAAAGUGACGGUACCUGCAGAAGAAGCGCCGGCUAACUACGUGCCAGCAGCCGCGGUAAUACGUAGGGCGCAAGCGUUGUCCGGAAUUAUUGGGCGUAAAGAGCUCGUAGGCGGCUUGUCACGUCGGUUGUGAAAGCCCGGGGCUUAACCCCGGGUCUGCAGUCGAUACGGGCAGGCUAGAGUUCGGUAGGGGAGAUCGGAAUUCCUGGUGUAGCGGUGAAAUGCGCAGAUAUCAGGAGGAACACCGGUGGCGAAGGCGGAUCUCUGGGCCGAUACUGACGCUGAGGAGCGAAAGCGUGGGGAGCGAACAGGAUUAGAUACCCUGGUAGUCCACGCCGUAAACGGUGGGCACUAGGUGUGGGCACAUUCCACGUUGUCCGUGCCGCAGCUAACGCAUUAAGUGCCCCGCCUGGGGAGUACGGCCGCCAGGCUUAAAACUCAAGGAAAAUGACGGGGGCCCCGCACAGCGGCGGAACCUGUGGCUUAUUCCAACGCACGCGAAAACCUUACCAGGCUUGACUACCCCGGAAAUGGGCAAUC
rnacentral:rRNA from 1 species